AUACGGAGGGUGCAAGCGUUGUCCGGAUUUAUUGGGUUUAAAGGGUGCGUAGGCGGCCCGUUAAGUCAGUGGUGAAAGGUAUCAGCUUAACUGAUGAAGUGCCAUUGAAACUGAAGGGCUUGAGUACAGACGAGGUAGGCGGAAUUUAUGGUGUAGCGGUGAAAUGCAUAGAUACCAUAAAGAACACCGAUAGCGAAGGCAGCUUACUAGAGUGAGACUGACGCUGAGGCACGAAAGCGUGGGGAGCGAACAGGAUUAGAAACCCCGGUAGUCC
rnacentral:rRNA from 1 species